CAAUGGAUUUUGGGAUCAUAUUGAGGGCCACAGACAAUUUCUCUGAUUCCAAUGAAAUUGGACAUGGUGGCUUUGGUAAAGUCUAUAAGGGACAACUUUACAACGGGGAAGAAAUCGCAGUUAAAAAGCUUGACGAGUCCUCAACACAAGGCCUCUCUGAAUUUAAGAACGAGGUUAGCGUGAUUGCACGCCUUCAACACGUUAACCUUGUUUGCCUCCG